AGUGAACGCUGGCGGUAGGCCUAACACAUGCAAGUCGAACGGCAGCACAGUAAGAGCUUGCUCUUACGGGUGGCGAGUGGCGGACGGGUGAGGAAUACAUCGGAAUCUACUUUUUCGUGGGGGAUAACGUAGGGAAGCUUACGCUAAUACCGCAUACGACCUACGGGUGAAAGCAGGGGAUCUUCGGACCUUGCGCGAUUGAAUGAGCCGAUGUCGGAUUAGCUAGUUGGCGGGGUAAAGGCCCACCAAGGCGACGAUCCGUAGCUGGUCUGAGAGGAUGAUCAGCCACACUGGAACUGAGACACGGCCCAGACUCCUACGGGAGGCAGCAGUGGGGAAUAUUGGACAAUGGGCGCAAGCCUGAUCCAGCCAUGCCGCGUGGGUGAAGAAGGCCUUCGGGUUGUAAAGCCCUUUUGUUGGGAAAGAAAAGCAGCAGGUUAAUACCCCGCUGUUCUGACGGUACCCAAAGAAUAAGCACCGGCUAACUUCGUG
rnacentral:rRNA from 1 species